AGAGAUUGAACAUAAGAGUUUGAUCCUGGCUCAGAUUGAACGCUGGCGGCAUGCUUUACACAUGCAAGUCGGACGGCAGCACAGAGAAGCUUGCUUCUCGGGUGGCGAGUGGCGAACGGGUGAGUAACAUAUCGGAACGUACCGAGUAGUGGGGGAUAACUGAUCGAAAGAUCAGCUAAUACCGCAUACGUCUUGAGAGAGAAAGCAGGGGACUUUCGGGCCUUGCGCUAUUCGAGCGGCCGAUAUCUGAUUAGCUAGUUGGGUGGGGUAAAGGCCUACCAAGGCGACGAUCAGUAAGCGGGUCUGAGAGGAUGAUCCGCCACACUGGGGACUGAGACACGGCCCAGACUCCUACGGGAGGCAGCAGUGGGGAAUUUUGGACAAUGGGCGCAAGCCUGAUCCAGCCAUGCGCGUGUCUGAAGAAGGCCUUCUCGGGUUGUAAAGGACUUUUGUCAGGGAAGAAAAGGCUGUUGCUAAUAUCAGCGGCUGAUGACGGUACCUGAAGAAUAAGCACCGGCUAACUACGUGCCAGCAGCCGCGGUAAUACGUAGGGUGCGAGCGUUAAUCGGAAUUACUGGGCGUAAAGCGGGCGCAGACGGUUACUUAAGCAGGAUGUGAAAUCCCCGGGCUCAACCCGGGAACUGCGUUCUGAACUGGGUGACUCGAGUGUGUCAGAGGGAGGUAGAAUUCCACGUGUAGCAGUGAAAUGCGUAGAGAUGUGGAGGAAUACCGAUGGCGAAGGCAGCCUCCUGGGACAACACUGACGUUCAUGCCCGAAAGCGUGGGUAGCAAACAGGAUUAGAUACCCUGGUAGUCCACGCCCUAAACGAUGUCAAUUAGCUGUUGGGCAACUUGAUUGCUUAGUAGCGUAGCUAACGCGUGAAAUUGACCGCCUGGGGAGUACGGUCGCAAGAUUAAAACUCAAAGGAAUUGACGGGACCCGCACAAGCGGUGGAUGAUGUGGAUUAAUUCGAUGCAACGCGAAGAACCUUACCUGGUCUUGACAUGUACGGAAUCCUCCAGAGACGGAGGAGUGCCUUCGGGAGCCGUAACACAGGUGCUGCAUGGCUGUCGUCAGCUCGUGUCGUGAGAUGUUGGUUAAGUCCCGCAACGAGCGCAACCCUUGUCAUUAGUUGCCAUCAUUCAGUUGGGCACUCUAAUGAGACUGCCGGUGACAAGCCGGAGGAAGGUGGGGAUGACGUCAAGUCCUCAUGGCCCCUUAUGACCAGGGCUUCACACGUCAUACAAUGGUCGGUACAGAGGGUAGCCAAGCCGCGAGGCGGAGCCAAUCUCACAAAACCGAUCGUAGUCCGGAUUGCACUCUGCAACUCGAGUGCAUGAAGUCGAAUCGCUAGUAAUCGCAGGUCAGCAUACUGCGGUGAAUAACGUUCCCGGGUCUUGUACACACCGCCCGUCACACCAUGGGAGUGGGGGAUACCAGAAGUAGGUAGGGUAACCGCAAGGAGUCCGCUUACCACGGUAUGCUUCAUGACUGGGGUGAAGUCGUAACAAGGUAGCCGUAGGGAACCUGCGGCUGGAUCACCUCCUUUCUAGAG
rnacentral:rRNA from 1 species